AAUUUACCAUUCAGAAUCAAAAGUUAAGUGAGAACCAUUAUCUUUUUCAGCCCCUCCACCUGAUGACUCACAUUAACAGGGAAGGAGAUGAAGGCAUUCAGAUUUGGCAUGGCAUCGUCAUUCUACUGACAAGCCAUGGCCCGUUAACAAAAUUUACCAAGGACCACUGUUCUUUGCUGCGACAUUGGCUGGGUUUUGCUGACCACAAUACCAUUUGAACUGGAAAUGUUGUUGCGAGAAGAAUCCGUCUUGGGAUACAAGCCUAAUAGCAAGAUCAGAGGGCAUGGUUCCCACGAAGGCUGUCCAAGGGAGAUUCAGCAACCUACUUGAUCAGCAUGGUUUCAAGAUCAUUGGGCUUGGGUGUCACGGGGGCCUGGAGAAACCAUCACGUUGCAUGGAUGCGCGGAGACACUUGUCACCCCUGGAAUGCCUGCUGUGAACAAGAGCUUGGGCUGAACCAAGCUAAGAUUAUUGACAAUCCCUAUCAUGUUGCCAACGUCACCAAUGGCAGGACUGAAAAUGGAUCCAUUGGAAACUAAAGGCUUUUCCUCAGCCAACACCUCAUGAACUAGACUGGAAAAUAGCACAGGUGAUCAAGACUGAUACCGCACAAUCGUCCUCCUGGUUAACAAGCUAAGACCAAUCCAGAUGGGGAGGGUUGGCCCUCCAACACCACUACCAAUGCUCUCAGCUGGGAUCAGUGGACUGCAGCAAUAUCUUACUGAAGACAAAGAUGAGGGAAUCUACAAUGUUGAUGCAAGAUUGUGUCUUUGACUACCAAGCUUUGGUUCACCAGUAGGUCCUCGGAUGGUAAAGUUUGGACACAACAUCCUGAGCAUGAAGAAUAUUCUGAAAGACAGCACAAACAAUAUUUGGACAUUCAAUUUUUCAGCUGAGAAGGACCUUUUUUCAAGUUAGGACUAAAGCCCCUGGGCCUGCUUUAGGCCUAUAACUGUAGUUUGUGCUCUGUAGUAUGUGAUUUGAAAAGAUUGGA